UACGUAGGGUGCAAGCGUUGUCCGGAAUUAUUGGGCGUAAAGAGUUCGUAGGCGGUUUGUCGCGUCUGUUGUGAAAGCCCGGGGCUCAACCCCGGGUCUGCAGUGGAUACGGGCAGGCUAGAGUCAGGUAGGGGAGAACGGAAUUCCUGGUGUAGCGGUGAAAUGCGCAGAUAUCAGGAGGAACACCGGUGGCGAAGGCGGUUCUCUGGGCCUGUACUGACGCUGAGGAACGAAAGCGUGGGGAGCAAACAGG
rnacentral:rRNA from 1 species